AGUCAUAAAAUAAAAAUUAGUUUUGUAGUACAUGUUUUUACAUUUGUUAAUAUAUUCUAUUAUUUACUCUUGCAACUCUUAAAUAUUUUGAUUCUUUGUUUUAUUGAUACCCUCAGAGGCGGUAUUGUUAAAAUCUAUUUUUUAAAAACCGGUUACGGGAGCAAGACUGUUUUUUUCCUUGUUUAAAACUAAGAUAUUUAGAAAAUGGAAUCUUCGACUACGCCAGUAGUUGCAGCUAAUGCUGGUAAAAUUUAUAAAGUUGCGAAUAGGGUAGGACGAGGUAUACCAGAAAUAACUAAGGUUUAUACGAAGAAGUGCUCCUGUCGAAGAGAAAAAACAAUUGUUUUUUGCCGGGCAUGUGGGUACUACUGCAAUGGACGUAUUCGAUUGAAAUGUGAAACACAUCCCAGGGUUACAUUUUUAUUGGAUAUUGCUGAAUGCCCUCGAUGCCACUCAUCAGUGUUUCUGGAUGAAUACUUUGGUGACCUGUAAUUUGUUAUGACUGAAAUUUCAACACUCCAUUUUCUUUUGCUAAUUACUUAUUAUUAAACUGAGAUAUUGUUAAGUUUGUAAUAUCUGAAUAUGAUUUGAAUGACUAAAGUUUUUAAAAACGUU